rnacentral:rRNA from 1 species
GAUGGACGCUGGCGGCGUGCUUAACACAUGCAAGUCGAACGAAGCAUUUAGGACAGAUUACUUCGGUUUGAAGUUCUUUAUGACUGAGUGGCGGACGGGUGAGUAACGCGUGGGUAACCUGCCUUGUACUGGGGGAUAGCAGCUGGAAACGGCUGGUAAUACCGCAUAAGCGCACAAUGUUGCAUGACAUGGUGUGAAAAACUCCGGUGGUAUAAGAUGGGCCCGCGUCUGAUUAGCUAGUUGGUGAGAUAACAGCCCACCAAGGCGACGAUCAGUAGCCGACCUGAGAGGGUGACCGGCCACAUUGGGACUGAGACACGGCCCAGACUCCUACGGGAGUCAGCAGUGGGGAAUAUUGCACAAUGGAGGAAACUCUGAUGCAGCGACGCCGCGUGAGUGAAGAAGUAAUUCGUUAUGUAAAGCUCUAUCAGCAGGGAAGAUAGUGACGGUACCUGACUAAGAAGCUCCGGCUAAAUACGUG